rnacentral:rRNA from 1 species
GACGAACGCUGGCGGCGUGCUUAACACAUGCAAGUCGAACGGUAAGGCCCUUCGGGGUACACGAGUGGCGAACGGGGGAGUAACACGUGGGUGAUCUGCCCUGCACUUCGGGAUAAGCCUGGGAAACUGGGUCUAAUACCGGAUAGGACCACUGCCUGCAUGGGUGGUGGUGGAAAGCUUUUGCGGUGUGGGAUGGGCCCGCGGCCUAUCAGCUUGUUGGUGGGGUGAUGGCCUACCAAGGCGACGACGGGUAGCCGGCCUGGGGGGGAGACCGGCCACACGGGGACUGAGAUACGGCCCAGUCUCCUACGGGAGGCAGCGGUGGGGAAUAUUGCACAAUGGGCGCAAGCCUGAUGCAGCGACGCCGCGUGAGGGAUGCCGGCCUUCGGGUUGUAAACCUCUUUCAGCACCGACGAAGCGCAAGUGACGGUAGGUGCAGAAGAAGGACCGGCCAACUACGUGCCAGCCGCCGCCGUAA